rnacentral:rRNA from 1 species
GUUUACAGCCAUGCUACCCUGAACAAGGGUAGCCAGAUCCCAUCUGAUCUCGGAAGCUAAGCAGAGUCGGGCCUGGUUAGUACUUGGAUGGGAGACCACCUACGAAGACCAGGUGCUGUAGGCA